UACGAAGGGGGCUAGCGUUGCUCGGAAUCAUUGGGCGUAAAGGGCGCGUAGGCGGCGGGGUAAGUCGGGUGUGAAAUCUUGGAGCUUAACUCCGAAACUGCAUUCGAUACUGCCGUGCUUGAGGACUGGAGAGGAGACUGGAAUUUACGGUGUAGCGGUGAAAUGCGUAGAUAUCGUAAGGAAGACCAGUGGCGAAGGCGGGUCUCUGGACAGUUCCUGACGCUGAGGCACGAAGGCCAGGGGAGCAAACGGG
rnacentral:rRNA from 1 species